rnacentral:lncRNA from 1 species
UUCCACAUAUCGCUUUUAUGUCUGCCACUUGUGCGUUCAAAGAACCAGUCAUUACAAAAAACAUCAGAGAAGACAUUAAAACUCUGUUCGUCAGGUAUGCUGCCAUCUUUGCUUCUUUCUUUCUUAUGUUCGUUGGUAGAUGAUGGUUAAGUUAUUCCCUUACUAUGCCUGACUAUUCAUAUUUAUAGAUGCAUGCGAUUGAUUGCUUCCACUAGAACUAAUAAUAGAAAUGGGUUGUUACUCUUUCUGAUUCUUAGUUAGACCACAAGUCCUUAUGUAAGAGAGAGAGAAAACUUUGCUAUUCUUAGCAUUAGUGCAGAGACAGUUAUCUGAUUAGUAUUCGUCUAACUUACUUUCCUGACUUCUCUUCUUUAGGUAGAUAUGCAUUCACUAAUAUGUGUUCAUGAUUUGUUGGUGCUAAGAAAGAUUACUGUAGGAAGAGGUUCUAUGGAGAUAAUUGUCAUAAAUAUACACCAGAAGUAACGAGAGAUUAAAGUCUUAGCUGAGAUGCAAGACACGGUAAUUUUGACUAUGAAUAUAUUCAUUUAUUGGUCUUUAAGUUACUAGUACAUCAGCGUGAAUGACAUUUAGUAGUUUCUGCCUUCUUGCAGGUGAAAGAUACAUAAAGAAUCAAGAAGUCAAAACGUCGGAGAAAACCCUAUCAAUAUUACACAUUCUCUUAAAAAACAAAUUGAGUUUUGCUACAU